CACCUGUUUAAGCUUUUCAUUUGCCCUCCAAAUUUGGUAUUUAGGAAUAUCGAACCAGUCAAAUAAGCACGCCAAAAUAGGCACCCUCUCGAGCGGCCCGGGCUAGCUGGCACCGGCCGACCAGCGGAGCAAACACACGGCAGGUUCCAUCGAGACAGGGGUCCGAAGUUUCGGCAACUUCACGCGAAGGGAGAAGCGGUACCCAGGCCCAACCAGCUGGAUGUCGCAGCCAGAGAGCGUGCUCCCCUCACUGGUGAACUGCACCGCCAGUGGAGACGGCUUGCCUGAUCCCUCAGGUGGCUGGAACCUGCAGAGCAGUGACCCCACCCCUGGGAAGGGACGAGAGAGCGGCCAGAUUUCUGGGAUAUAUCUGGAAUCUUCC